GAGAGGAUUCGAUGAUGGUCUCUAAUUUUUCAAGCCCUGGCUUGACUGACUGCAUGGAUGGUGAUACAACUUGCAGAACUGAGGAAGGCUUUAGGGAAGCGACUUGGAGGAAGAGGUCAAGUGUUCUGUUAUGGACAUGUGUUCUCAGAGCUUCAGAAUCGGACUUUGGUUCACAUUGAACCCUGGCUCUGCUACUUACUAGCUUGACCUUGAACAAGUUAUUAAACCUUCUGAAGCCUCAGUUUCCUCACCUGCAGAAUGAAGAGAGCAACAAUCUUUAUUCCAAAGGGCCAUUGUGAAGAUUAUACUAAGAGAAGAUAGUCUUCAGCCCAAGCCAUUGUCAAACAGCUCUGCGCUCCCAACACUCCCCAGCUGUGGCUAAUUAUACCAAAAUGCAGCUAUCAAGAUUGUGAAAUCAAGGACCAGAGAGAAGUUUGCUGUCCAAGGCCACACAGCAAGUUAUUGGUAAGGCUAGACCCGGAAGCCAGGUAUCCCAACUCCCAAAGCAGUGCUCUUUACACAACACUACUCCACUUUCACCAACCCCAUUUAUCACUAAGCCAAACCUUUGUGGCUUAAGACAACAGCACUCACUUUAUUUCAUCUCAUAUGUCUGUGGGUCAGGAAUUUGGGAAGGGCUCAGCUGGGUGGUUCAGGCGCAGGGUCAUUCAUAAGGCUGUCAUCAGGGUGGAUGGGGCUGGAGCAGCUGGGAACAGAUCAGGCAUUUCUCUCUUCAUGUAGUCUUAAAGACUCCUCAUGUGAUCUUGGCAUGUGAGUUAGUUUGGGCUUCCUCACGGUAUGGUGUCAGUUGAAUGAAUCACAGGGUGGCGCAAGGCUUCAAGAGUGAGUGCUCCAGCAAACAAGGUAGAAGCUGGGUCUCCCUUCUUCACUUCUGACUAGUCAUGAGCGUGCCCACCUCUGGGGUAAGGACCAUAGCCCCUACAUCUCAGUGGGGUAAUGUCAAAGUCACAUUGUAAAAAGUGCACAUGGAAUGUGACUUAGUGUUGCAGCCUUCUUGGGAAAAUACUACCUGCCACCCCAAUGUUACUUCCCACUUUUCCCUCACAUGGGCUUCCUGCUUCAGCCAGUGGCUCCCCCAGACCCUUCAGACAAGCCUUCUGCUGUCUUGCUUGUGUAGUUUGGCUACACAAACUACAGGCCCCUGCCCAGGGUGCUCUCCUCUCUGCUCCAGUGCCUUCCUUAAGGUUCCCUAAAGACUCCUGAGAGCACCACAUGCAGCACUUUCCCCCCAGUCAAAGCAUACAGACAUUUGCAUGUUUAAUAGGCUGGGUUGCUCCACACUUGCUCAAAGCAGUCUGACCAGUGGCUGUGGGUUUCCACAUCUGGGCCCUGAGCGUCUGGAUUCUGGUGGUUAAACUGUCCUCAUUCUUCCAAGGUCACAGGGCCUCAGGUUCACGUUGCUUCUGGCCAUAAAAGGCAGGAAAAAGUGGUGGCCAUAGUGCAGUGUCUCUUCUGAGGGAGGCAUGGGAGCAGACCAGGCUCUGAGCACAAGGUCCUGGUAGUCAGGUGACAGGUGGCAGUUAACUGUGUUGGCCAGAGCCCUUGGCUGGGAAGCAGGAAGCCCGGGUCCCAGUGCUAGCUUUCUGGCCAAUCUGAUGCAUGCAGGACGUAAGGCAAACCCCUCAACCUCUCACUGGGCCUUAGUUUCCCCACUUCUGCAAUAUGAAGCCUAGAACUUUCCCUUCCUACCUUUGUGAUGAGCAGAGAAGGAAAUGGGAUGAUCCCUCUGAGAGCAGAAAAUGCUGUUAAAAUGAUAAUAAGUCUUGUAUGUGUUUCUUCUGUCAACCAUACUUCCUCACCAGCUGGUAGACUUGAGAGAGUAUGUGAGUUGGCAGGUCAAUGGUUAUGGAGGUGGUAUUGAUCAAUGGCUUUCUGUGGAGAAAGUGAAGGUUCCUAUGGCCAGGAUUCUCACCUGGCCCUGGUCAGCUUGCUCACUACACGCCUGAGGACAAUACGUUGUUACUGACUCUAUAUAAAGAGCUCUGCCCAGUGCUCUGGGCUUUACAGCUGCAGGAGAGCAGAGACGAGGCUGGAGUGGUGGCAGCGCCGAGGACAGAAACAGAGACGACUGCGGAGUCAUAGAGGCCAGAGGCAGAGACCAGCUUGCUGCAUGCAGACUUGCUCUGAGUGGGCAGGAUUCUAGUGAUUGACCUGCCACUGGGAAUAAAGUUG